UAAGGUUCUCUCUUCCCUUGCUGGUUUUCAUUUUAUUAUCACUCACAUCUACAGGGAAGGGAACCGGGUUGCAGAUUGUUUGGCUUCUUCUGUAGCGGAGGAAGGCUAUUGGAAUUUUACGAUCCCGGAUAUCCUACAGUUGGUGAAGGAUGACAGGCGGCAACUUCCUUACAUUCGGGUUGUCACUUGAGCUUGGUCUCCUUGGGGAACUGUUUGUCUUGUUGUUUGCUUUGGUGUUUCCUGGGGCCACGGUUGUCUUUUGCACAGGUGACCAGAGCAGGGAGGAUUCAUAAUGCGUUCGGUGGGAAUCCUGUGCUGACUGCUCGGCUUAUUCCGGCCAGUGCAGAUCUCUCUAGAUGGCCUAAGCUGUCCCCUCGGGUUUUGUUGUUGGCUCUUUUGUGCUUGAGCUGUGUUUCUUCCGGCUUAGGGGGACGACUCGCCGAUGGGUUUUGGUUUGGCCGUAAUCUGUGGCGGCGGCUUUCCCGUCCCCUUAACUGUGGUCUGUUUUUUGGUUUUUCGUUAGGUGGUAUUGCGCCUUAUGGUCCCUUGUUGUACUGCUUUUCGUUUCACCAGUUUUGUAACAACUUUUCUUUCUUUCUUUUCAAUAAAAUUUUCAUUACAGC
rnacentral:lncRNA from 1 species